UACAUGGGGUGCAAACGUUGCUCGGAAUUAUUGGGCGUAAAGCGCGCGUAGGCGGUUACUUAAGUCGGAUGUGAAAGCCCUCGGCUUAACUGAGGAAGUGCACCCGAAACUGAGUAGCUAGAGUACGAAAGAGGGUCGCGGAAUUCCCGGUGUAGAGGUGAAAUUCGUAGAUAUCGGGAGGAACACCGGUGGCGAAGGCGGCGACCUGGGUCGAGACUGACGCUGAGGCGCGAAAGCGUGGGAGCAAACAGG
rnacentral:rRNA from 1 species